GACGAACGCUGGCGGCGUGCUUAACACAUGCAAGUCGAACGGAAAGGCCCUGCUUUUGUGGGGUGCUCGAGUGGCGAACGGGCGAGUAACACGUGAGUAACCUGCCCUUGACUUUGGGAUAACUUCAGGAAACUGGGGCUAAUACCGGAUAGGAGCUCCUGCUGCAUGGUGGGGGUUGGAAAGUUUCGGCGGUUGGGGAUGGACUCGCGGCUUAUCAGCUUGUUGGUGGGGUAGUGGCUUACCAAGGCUUUGACGGGUAGCCGGCCUGAGAGGGUGACCGGCGACAUUGGGACUGAGAGACGGCCCAGACUCCUACGGGAGGCAGCAGUGGGGAAUAUUGCACAAUGGGCGGAAGCCUGAUGCAGCAACGCCGCGUGCGGGAUGACGGCCUUCGGGUUGUAAACCGCUUUCGCCUGUGACGAAGCGUGAGUGACGGUAAUGGGUAAAGAAGCACCGGCUAACUACGUG
rnacentral:rRNA from 1 species